ACUAUUUUGGCAGAAAAAUGUAAUGGUUUUAGAAGUCAUUAAUGUAUAAAUUUAUUAUACAGAUAGUA
rnacentral:tRNA from 1 species